GAAAGGUCGUCUCUUCUCACAUUUCCGACGGGAGGCGGGGAGGACGGCUGGAUGCAUGUCCGGCAUGUAUCCCAAUUAGA
rnacentral:ncRNA from 1 species